GGGGGUGAACGGUUUCGACUUCGGACGUUGAUCAAGGGGAAGCGUGUCGAGGAAGGCGACGAUGAUCUCGUUAACCACCCGUCGCAAACCAAUUAAGCGCCAACAAUGUUGUCGCCAGGCCGUUUGUUGCUUCGAACCAGGGCGAGGUCACCCUCGCCGGUUAGUUCUUAGCUAGGCCUUGUCGGCCCGGGAUUGUUCCCGACCCGGUGUCCGGCAUCAGCUAGGGGACUUACCGCUCGACCCGGUCGCAGGGGUCGGACGGGAAAUCAAACAGCGACUGGGAUCGUCACACCGGCUUGUUCGCGGGACCGGUGGAUCCAAGCAGAGACACAGCGGACUGCACACGGAGAAGCCCUCGUGAAGCGCCGGAGGACCCGGGUUCGAUUCCCGGCACCUCCACUC
rnacentral:tmRNA from 1 species